AGAGUUGAUCCUGGCUAGGACGAACGCUGGCGGCGUGCUUCAUACAUGCAAGUCGAACGAGAAGCCGACUUCGGUUGGUGGAAAGUGGCGGACGGGUGAGUAAAAUGUAGAGAAUCUGCCCUAGAGAGAGGGACAACAGUUGGAAACGACUGCUAAUACCUCAUAUGCGCGUAGUUGAGAUACUAUUCGUGAAAACUCCGGUGCUCUGGGAUGAGUCUGCAUCUGAUUAGCUAGUUGGCGGUGUAAUGGACCACCAAGGCGACGAUCAGUAGCUGGUUUGAGAGGAUGAUCAGCCACAAUGGGACUGAGACACGGCCCAUACUCCUACGGGAGGCAGCAGUAGGGAAUUUUGCGCAAUGGGGGAAACCCUGACGCAAGCAACGCCGCGUGAUUGAAUAAGCCCUUCGGGGUGUAAAGAUCUGUCAGUAGGGACGAAACUUGACGGUACCUACAGAGGAAGCAUCGGCUAACUCCGUGCCAGCCGCAGC
rnacentral:rRNA from 1 species